UACGUAGGGUGCAAGCGUUAAUCGGAAUUACUGGGCGUAAAGCGUGCGCAGGCGGUUCGGAAAGAAAGAUGUGAAAUCCCCGGGCUUAACCUGGGAACUGCAUUGGUGACUGGCGGGCUAGAGUAUGGCAGAGGGGGGUAGAAUUCCACGUGUAGCAGUGAAAUGCGUAGAGAUGUGGAGGAAUACCGAUGGCGAAGGCAGCCCCCUGGGCCAAUACUGACGCUCAUGCACGAAAGCGUGGGGAGCAAACAGG
rnacentral:rRNA from 1 species